UGCAUGUUUAUGUAAUAAGGACCAAUAGCUCAGUAGAACUGCGAUUAUUUAGUCUGUCUGUAUAGGAUAACUACGUGAAAAUGUAGCUAAGAGGGGACAGAAUAAGACGUAGGACUAUCAGUUAGUUGGUAGUGUAAUGGACUACCAAGACGAUGACGGUUAACGGGGAAUUAGGGUUUUAUACCGGAGAGGGAGCCUGAGAGAUUGCUCCCACGUCCAUGGACGGCAGCAGGCGCGAAAAUUGCCCACUCUUUGCAGGAGGCAGUUAUGAGACGUGAAGAGGAAUGUUUGGUAAAGAGAAACAGGAGAAUUGGAGGGCAAGCUUUGGUGCCCGCUGCCGCGGUCAUACCAGACUCCUUCGUG
rnacentral:rRNA from 1 species